UGUUGGGUCAGUGGCUUGUUCUUCAUGUUUCCAUCUCACCUUCCAAAUCCAGCUUUUUGGUCCUCCAUCUACCACAGCAUUACAAAUAUGACAUAUCAUGGAGACAGAAGGGGGGAUGGAGAAGUGGAGAAAUGAAUGAUUGCUUGCAAUUGUAAAUACAUGCUAAAUGCUAAAUGAAUGGGCACUUAUAUAGUGCUUUUUUAGACGUAAUGAAAACUCAAUGCCCUUUUAAACAGAAACAUUCAUAGAGCUUUAUUCUAUGCAUUUAAGCACUUUAUUACAUAUUCAUCAAGGGCAAUUUGGGAUUCUGUACCUUUUCAUCUUUCUGUAUCAAGGACAGUGAAAUAUACACCAGAAGCGCUGCCGAGUGAACCGCUGACCUUCUGCUCUACCUCCUGAGGUACGAGUCAGGGUUUGAGAGCAUUCAAAAUCAGUGGUUUUAGUACUUUUAAUAUUUUUAAAGCUGUUAGCUGCUGUGUGUCAUAUGUCUUUAAAAAAAGCUAUUUUAAAUUUGAUUUAUUUGCACAGACACAGGUAGUACUCACAGUAGCUUGUAUAGAUUUAUAGCUGCUCACAACCAAGUUGGCUUCAACAUGCUGAUAGAUUUUUUCCCCCCUCCAUUUCAACUGUUUUUUUUGGUAAAAAAAAAAAAAAAAAAUGUAUAAAUGACUUGUGAUUUUUAUUAUUAUACCAGUAAAAAUGCAAAGUUAAGUUCAAUUAUCGUGAGUCAUUGUGUUUCAGGCAAACAGUCACACAGCCAUGUGUUAACAUGCCGUUAGUCUGGAGGUUCUUGACCGUGAUUACAUACACAAAGUAAACUGACUCAGUGUGUCACCCUCAGUGUAAAGCUUCAGUAAGUUUUGUGGCUCUAAAAUUUAUUUUGGUCAAAAUUUUGAUGGUAAAGGUUGCCGACCCCUGCUCUAGCCAUAUGUGUUACA